rnacentral:rRNA from 1 species
GACGAACGCUGGCGGCGUGCUUAACACAUGCAAGUCGAGCGGUAAGGCCCUUUCGGGGGUACGACGAGCGGCGAACGGGUGAGUAACACGUGGGUGACCUGCCCUCAGCUCUGGGAUAAGCCUGGGAAACCGGGUCUAAUACUGGAUAUGACUCCAUGACGCAUGUUGGUGGGGUGGAAAGCCUUGUGCGGCUGAGGAUGGGCCCGCGGCCUAUCAGCUUGUUGGUGGGGUGAGGCCCUACCAAGGCGACGACGGGUAGCCGGCCUGAGAGGGCGACCGGCCACACUGGGACUGAGACACGGCCCAGACUCCUACGGGAGGCAGCAGUGGGGAAUCUUGCGCAAUGGGCGAAAGCCUGACCCAGCAAUACCGCGUGAGGGAUGAAGGCC